UACGAGGGGGGCAAGCGUUGUUCGGAAUUAUUGGGCGUAAAGAGCUCGUAGGCGGUCUGUCGCGUCGGCUGUGAAAACUCGGGGCUCAACUCCGAGCUUGCAGUCGAUACGGGCAGGCUAGAGUUCGGCAGGGGAGACUGGAAUUCCUGGUGUAGCGGUGAAAUGCGCAGAUAUCAGGAGGAACACCGGUGGCGAAGGCGGGUCUCUGGGCCGAUACUGACGCUGAGGAGCGAAAGCGUGGGGAGCGAACAGG
rnacentral:rRNA from 1 species